AUUGAACGCUGGCGGCAGGCCUAACACAUGCAAGUCGAGCGGUAGCACAGAGAGCUUGCUCUCGGGUGACGAGCGGCGGACGGGUGAGUAAUGUCUGGGAAACUGCCUGAUGGAGGGGGAUAACUACUGGAAACGGUAGCUAAUACCGCAUAACGUCGCAAGACCAAAGUGGGGGACCUUCGGGCCUCAUGCCAUCAGAUGUGCCCAGAUGGGAUUAGCUAGUAGGUGGGGUAAUGGCUCACCUAGGCGACGAUCCCUAGCUGGUCUGAGAGGAUGACCAGCCACACUGGAACUGAGACACGGUCCAGACUCCUACGGGAGGCAGCAGUGGGGAAUAUUGCACAAUGGGCGCAAGCCUGAUGCAGCCAUGCCGCGUGUAUGAAGAAGGCCUUCGGGUUGUAAAGUACUUCCAGCGAGGAGGAAGGCGUUAAGGUUAAUAACCUUGGCGAUUGACGUUACUCGCAGAAGAAGCACCGGCUAACUCCGUGCCAGCCGCCGCGGUAA
rnacentral:rRNA from 1 species